CGCCUCCCCGCCAGCAGCAACACCAGCAGCCCCGGCGGCGGGUCCGCGCCGCCCCGCCGGCCGGCAACCCGGCUCCCGCCGCGCCUCCCCGCACCCUCCGCCGCCUCCCGGUUCGGCAGAGGCCGCCUGGCAGGGGCCGGAGGCCCAGCGACACGGAGGGGGCGGAACCAGUCGAGCAGCGGCUGCUUCCCGCGGGCCCCGCUCUCGCCGCUCCUCUGCCAGGGAGCGGGUCCCGGGCGCUGCGCGGGUCCCCCCCGCCGGAGGGCGGCGCGGCCGAGUGUGGCGGCGGCGCGGCCGAGUGUGGCGGCGGCGCGGCCGAGUGUGGCGGCGGCGCGGUCCGGGACGGGCGGCCCCCCCGCCGCCCUGAGCCGCAGCGCCCGACGGAGCGAGCGCCCGAGCGAGCGGUUGCAGAGUAGCAGGAAAGGAAAGACCUAGCUCAUAACUCUGCCCCUAUGACACCAACCAGCAGAACUUCUUCUUCCAGAAAUCUUCUUAAUGGAAUCUCAAGCUACUGUGUCAUCCUUUGUUUGCACGAGCAAAUGAUUAUGGGGCAGAGCCACACCUGAACUUAUGCCUGUGUGUGGGGUAAGAGGCUACCUGCGUUCCCCAAUUCCCUCGGGCAAACUGCUGUGAAGGAGGGGCUGACGCUGGAGGCAACUGUGACGAUGCUGGUGCUGCUGCGGUCUCAGCUGUCAUGUCAUGAAGAACACAUGCUGUGGGUGGGAUUUCCUGUUAGGGAAGAGAGGCUGCCUCCCUAGUAAUUAGGUUGGUCCAUCCCAAAUGUUAUUUUCAAUGUCCUGUCUACAGUGUGUCUUAGACGCCACCUAAUGCACUGUCCCGUUUUUGGCCAUAAGCCUACAGUUCUGGGUCAUGCUACACAGUAUACGGACAGUUGAUUCCUGAAGUAGCAGAUUUUCACUUAGUGCUGUCUAGUGCAUUUUGCUUUGCAAAUCUUGUGCAAAAAAUUAAAAAAGAUAUGGUAUCCUUUCCAUUUCACAUGUUACUAAUACAAAAAACAUUGGAGGAAGCAAGCAGGAUCUCUAUUUCGUCCUUCCUGCUACCCCUCAUGCCCAGCUCACCUUCUUAUUAAAUUGAAGAAGAGUAGAGGAAAAUUGUUUUUCAGAGUUUUUGUGUAGGGUACACCACGCCGGAGAGAAGGCAUUCCUGAGUCACAGUAUGAACCUUGUUGCCUCUGAGAUGGCUCAGCUAUCUAAGAUCAUAUUCAAAUUGUAGUAAAUGGAAAAAGUAAUCUCAAGUGCCAGGAUGCACUUUAUCCAUUUAUCUUGAAACCACUAAUUUAUUUUCAAUUAUAAAUAAAAAAUUUUAUGAGUUAAAACUGAAAAAACCAGCCAUUGUUAAAGAUUGCUGUGAGACGCCACAUGACUAAUCCAGCAAGGAUGGCUUCGUACUACAGAUGUAAGCUCUCUGUGUUAAAUGUAGUAGAACCACUGCAAAGAAUUUUAAAGGAUACCUUCUGUCACAUUUGAGGAGAAAGUUGUAUUGUUCACACCACUUAUUCUUCUUCAUUGUAGACUAUACAUAAUCACGUACGGUGAAGUGACAAAGUCUUGGUUCUAUGAGUUCGUCCUACAGAAAUAUACAAAUAAACUACUCCUGAGAGGAUGAAGCUAUCUACUUUUUAUUUCUGGUACCAUUUGGUUUUGGGGAGCUACUGGGUUUACA
rnacentral:lncRNA from 13 species